GUUUUUCUUCUUCUUUU
rnacentral:sRNA from 1 species